rnacentral:lncRNA from 1 species
UCGAGGGACCAAAAAGAGUCUUUACUAUUAAACGGGGAGCAUCGGCCAAAGAAGAGAAUCAGUCGGUUGGCUCGAGUUCGUCCGUCCACGGGUUGGUAGGAAUUGGGAUCGGCAACGAAGAUAUGAACAUCAGAAGGCUUCCCGCAGGGUCUUGUUCAGAGGGUCAAUAUUAUAGAGGCCAACCUCCUAGAAAUAAUUAGUUGUAAUAGUAAAAGAUCCUUGGUCUGAUUAAGAGUAAGGAUUGACCAAGAAUCUUAGAAAAUAAUUGUGCCUUUUCUGGUUCAAUACUCGAUGCCUUGAAGUUAUUUUUAGGAGGGAUCGAUUGCUGAGGGGUUCGGAAGGGGACGGGAUCAUACGACCGAGUUGGAGAUCAGUACCAUCACUUUAGUCGGGGUAGCUCCAAGAGAAUUAGGGUCAACAUUGAAAAGACUGGAGUUAUUAUGACUGUCCUGUUACAUAGAGCCAUGUGAGGUACUUAAAUACCCCUAACAGCGUUCAUGAAUUGGCUUAGUGUGCAGCUAGCCAUGAAAGUAGUGACAAGACAUAAUGUAGGAUAGAUGAGCAACGUGACACAACUGCAUGAUUAGACUUU